rnacentral:rRNA from 1 species
UACGAAGGGGGCUAGCGUUGCUCGGAAUCACUGGGCGUAAAGGGCGCGUAGGCGGCGUUUUAAGUCGGGGGUGAAAGCCUGUGGCUCAACCACAGAAUGGCCUUCGAUACUGGGACGCUUGGGUAUGGUAGAGGUUGGUGGAACUGCGAGUGUAGAGGUGAAAUUCGUAGAUAUUCGCAAGAACACCGGUGGCGAAGGCGGCCAACUGGACCAUUACUGACGCUGAGGCGCGAAAGCGUGGGAGCAAACAGG